rnacentral:rRNA from 1 species
UACGUAGGGCGCAAGCGUUGUCCGGAAUUAUUGGGCGUAAAGAGCUCGUAGGUGGCUUGUCACGUCGGGUGUGAAAGCUUGGGGCUUAACUCCAGGUCUGCAUUCGAUACGGGCUGGCUAGAGGUAGGUAGGGGAGAACGGAAUUCCUGGUGUAGCGGUGAAAUGCGCAGAUAUCAGGAGGAACACCGGUGGCGAAGGCGGAUCUCUGGCCGUACUGACGCUGAGGAGCGAAAGCGUGGGGAGCGAACAGG